UAAUAGUGUAUAUUAAAGUUGUUGCAGUUAAAAAGCUCGUAGUUGAAUGUUGGUGUCGAACGAGCGGUCAGCUUCGGCUGUACUACUCUCUCGACUCCUUCCUUCUGUGGACUACGUCGCACUUUACUGUGUGGCGCUAGGACGCAGAUCGUUUACUGUGAAAAAAUUAGAGUGUUCAAAGCAGGCCGUACGCUUGAAUACAUUAGCAUGGAAUAAUGGAAUAGGACGUCGGGCCUAUUUUGUUGGUUCUAGGACCGUCGUAAUGAUUAAUAGGGACAGUUGGGGCCGUUUAUAUUCCGUAGUCAGAGGUGAAAUUCUUGGAUUUACGGAAGAUAAACUACUGCGAAAGCAUUCGGCAAGGAUGUUUUCGUUAA
rnacentral:rRNA from 1 species